UGCGGCUGCCCAGUAUCAGACUGAUCUU
rnacentral:piRNA from 1 species